CCCUUAGAUGUUCUGGGCUGCACGCGUGCUACAAUGGCGUUUCCAGCAAGUCUGCGAACCCGAGAGGGCCAGCGGAUCUUCGAAUUGGCGUCGUGAUCGGGACAGUCGAUUGCAAUUAUUUGACUCAAACGAGGAAUUCCUUGUAAUCGCGAUUCAUCAUAUCGCGCUGAAUACGUCCCUGCCCUUUGUACACACCGCCCGUCGCUCCUACCGAUUGAGCGAUCCGGUAAAUGUUUUGGAUUGGUGCCGGGGCGGCUAGCUGCCGGUCGCUACGAAAUUUUGUGAACCUUAUCGCUUAGAGAAAGGAAAAGUCGUAACA
rnacentral:rRNA from 1 species